UAAUGUUCUCAGGGCGGGGUGAAAGUCCCCACCGGCGGUAAGGGUGUUCGCACCCGAGCCCGCGAGCGCCUUCCGGCAACGGAAGGGUCAGCAGAUCCGGUGUAAUUCCGGAGCCGACGGUCACAGUCCGGAUGGAAGAGAACGAAC
rnacentral:ncRNA from 2 species